rnacentral:rRNA from 1 species
UACGUAGGGGGGCUAGCGUUGUCCGGAAUCAUUGGGCGUAAAGCGCGUGUAGGCGGCCCGGUAAGUCCGCUGUGAAAGUCGGGGGCUCAACCCUCGAAAGCCGGUGGAUACUGUCAGGCUAGAGUCCGGAAGAGGCGAGUGGAAUUCCUGGUGUAGCGGUGGAAUGCGCAGAUAUCAGGAGGAACACCAAUAGCGAAGGCAGCUCGCUGGGACGGUACUGACGCUAAGGCGCGAAAGCGUGGGGAGCGAACAGG